rnacentral:miRNA from 1 species
CUAGUUCUCUGGAGUAGCAUUAGU